GACGAACGCUGGCGGCGUGCUUAACACAUGCAAGUCGAACGGAAAGGCCCUGCUUUUUUGGGGUGCUCGAGUGGCGAACGGGUGAGUAACACGUGAGUAACCUGCCCUUGACUUUGGGAUAACUUCAGGAAACUGGGGCUAAUACCGGAUAGGAGCUCCUGCUGCAUGGUGGGGGUUGGAAAGUUUCGGCGGUUGGGGAUGGACUCGCGGCUUAUCAGCUUGUUGGUGGGGUAGUGGCUUACCAAGGCUUUGACGGGUAGCCGGCCUGAGAGGGUGACCGGCCACAUUGGGACUGAGAUACGACCCAGACUCCUACGGGAGGCAGCGGUGGGGAAUAGAGCACGAUACGCGGAAGGCUAAUGCAGCAACGCCGCGUGGGGGAUGACGGCCAUCGGGUUGUAAACCGCUUUUGCCUGAGACGAAGCGUGAGUGACGGUAAUGGGAAAAGAAGCACCGGCUAACUACGUG
rnacentral:rRNA from 1 species